UGGGGAAUAUUGCACAAUGGGGAAGCCCUGAUGCAGCGACGCCGCGUGAGCGAUGAAGUAUUUCGGUAUGUAAACUUCUAUCAGCAGGGAAGAAAAUGACGGUACCUGACUAAGAAGCCCCGGCUAACUACGUGCCAGCAGCCGCGGUAAUACGUAGGGGGCAAGCGUUAUCCGGAUUUACUGGGUGUAAAGGGAGCGUAGACGGAGCAGCAAGUCUGAUGUGAAAGGCAGGGGCUCAACCCCUGACUGCAUUGGAAACUGUUAGGCUGGAAUGCAGGAGAGGUAAGUGGAAUUCCUAGUGUAGCGGUGAAAUGCGUAGAUAUUAGGAGGAACACCAGUGGCGAAGGCGGCUUACUGGACGGUAACUGACGUUGAGGCUCGAAAGCGUGGGGAGCAAACAGGAUUAGAUACCC
rnacentral:rRNA from 1 species